CAGAUUGAACGCUGGCGGCAGGCUUAACACAUGCAAGUCGAGCGGGCGAGGUUGCUUCGGUAACUGAGCUAGCGGCGGACGGGUGAGUAAAGCUUAGGAAUCUGCCUAUUAGUGGGGGACAACAUUUCGAAAGGGAUGCUAAUACCGCAUACGUCCUACGGGAGAAAGCAGGGGACCUUCGGGCCUUGCGCUAAUAGAUGAGCCUAAGUCGGAUUAGCUAGUUGGUGGGGUAAAGGCCUACCAAGGCGACGAUCUGUAGCGGGUCUGAGAGGAUGAUCCGCCACACUGGGACUGAGACACGGCCCAGACUCCUACGGGAGGCAGCAGAAGGG
rnacentral:rRNA from 1 species